ACCGGUUAUUCUCACCUCGAUCUGUCUGGGAUGUACUUCUCAACCCCAGACAGAGAUAACGACGGAGCUAGUGAUUAUAACUGUGCUGCUUACAGUGGCCACAGAGGAGGUUGGUGGUUUAACUACUGUAACCUCGCCUUCCUUAACGGUCCCUGGUCCCCGGAGUCCUGGUACGACCCAUGGUCUCCCACAGUAACGAGUGGGACAUCAGUGAAGGGGACCACCAUGAUGAUCAGACGGAACUAGACGAAAGAUCAUCCAUGGAUUACGGAAACAUCCAAGAGACGAUUUUAAAUUAAUUUUUAUCGCUGAGUUCUUUUUUUUAAUAUUUAACAUCAAGUAACAAACAGUAAAAGAAGGUGGUUGAACGGCUCUGUAAAGCGAUACUGGAUGUAUUCAGUAAAAGAUGUAUUUUAUAUGUGUUGUAAUAAAUUUGAAAA